UCCGGUAUGGUGUAACGGCUAACAUUGUCGCCUUUCAGUAACUGUAACAGCUUACAAAUCAGGCCGCGACGGCUCGGGGUUCGAUUCCCCGUACCGGAG